rnacentral:rRNA from 1 species
AGAGUUUGAUCAUGGCUCAGAAUCAACGCUGGCGGCGUGCCUAACACAUGCAAGUCGAGCGAGAAAGGGGCUUCGGCCCUGAGUAAAGCGGCGCACGGGUGAGUAACACGUGGGUAAUCUGCCCUAGAGUGGGGAAUAACACCGGGAAACCGGUGCUAAUACCGCAUACGAUCACGAUGUCUUCGGGUGUUGUGAUGAAAGGAGCAAUUCGCUCUUGGAGGAGCCCGCGGCUGAUUAGCUAGUUGGUGAGGUAAUGGCUCACCAAGGCAACGAUCAGUAGCCGGUCUGAGAGGACGGUCGGCCACACUGGAACUGAGACACGGUCCAGACUCCUACGGGAGGCAGCAGUGGGGAAUUUUUCGCAAUGGGGGCAACCCUGACGAAGCAACGCCGCGUGGAUGAUGAAGUCUCUUGGGACGUAAAAUCCUUUCGACGGGGACGAAACCGCAAGGUUGACGGUACCCGUAGAAGAAGCCCCGGCUAACUCCGUGCCAGCAGCCGCGGUAAUACGGGGGGGGCAAGCGUUGUUCGGAAUUACUGGGCGUAAAGGGCGCGUAGGCGGUUCGCUAAGUUGAAUGUGAAAACUCUGGGCUUAACCCAGAGCCUGCAUUCAAUACUGGCGGGCUAGAGUUCUGGAGGGGAUAGCGGAAUUCCUGGUGUAGCGGUGAAAUGCGUAGAUAUCAGGAGGAACACCGGUGGCGAAGGCGGCUAUCUGGACAGAGUCUGACGCUGAGGCGCGAAAGCUAGGGGAGCAAACAGGAUUAGAUACCCUGGUAGUCCUAGCCCUAAACGAUGGAUACUUGCUGUGACUGGGAUUGAAUCCAGUCGUGGCGAAGCUAACGCAUUAAGUAUCCCGCCUGGGGAGUACGUCGCAAGCUGAAACUCAAGGAAUUGACGGGGCCCGCACAAGCGGUGGAGUAUGUGGUUUAAUUCGACGCAACGCGAAGAACCUUACCUGGGCUCGAACGGCUGGUGA